rnacentral:sRNA from 1 species
UCCGUAUGCUGUUAUGUUCAGCGCCAGC